rnacentral:hammerhead_ribozyme from 1 species
GUACUGCUGAAGAGUCCCAAACUAGGGCGAAAUAACUGUCCAGUAG